UAGUCAUGUAGGUAGUCAGUCAUGCAUCCCUUUUUUUGUGCUCUGAUUUUGUGUUUCUUGUCAUGUUUUCGUGUUUUUUUUGUGUGUGAUGCAGCGGGGCAAGGUGCAAAACAGAGGACUGUGUCCAUGGUGGCCCGUCGUCUUGUUAUGUCUGAUGAGGAAGGUGGUAGCUGUAUGAAGGAUUGUAGAAACCAGAAUGCAGGGAAGAGGCCUUGUGUUGUUCAAUCUGGCAUGAGAGAUUCAUAUUUGAAGACAUUAAAUCUUGAUGAUGCAGCCCUGUGUAUAACAAUCCUGUGAAGGAGCACCGAGCCAUUGAGGACAAAAACAUUAUGUUGGACAGAAUUACAGUUUAUGCCCAAGCAGUGCUCGACACCGUCCGUUCUUUCUAAGACAAUGGCGAUCCAGAGCCAAAUGUUGUUUAUUUUGGGCAGACGGAGGCUAAGUUGCCUAAAAGGAGGUAUGUCAUGUCAGCAAGUUUCACUGGCAAUGGUUAAGUGGUUGCCUCCCGCAGCCCCCACCAAUCCCAUUGGUGAAUAAGUUCCACACAUGGAUAUUUGGAGGCAAUGAUUUUGACAUGGACAGUGUAUGGUUUGUUCACGCACACCCGAGGUUUCUGAGGGUGAACGUUGUAUGUGUUCACCAGCAGAUGCUCAGGGUGCAUCGACUUGAUCACGAGGUAGCUGCACUUGCUUUGAGGAGGUUUCAUCAGAUUGAUGUGGGCGCACAAUCUGUCAAUAAGUACAUGUGGCGGGAAGU